rnacentral:lncRNA from 1 species
AUGAGAAUUGCUUUUAUAUCCUCCAAAGUGAGAUCAAUUGAUGUUGAUUUCUCUUUUUUCAAUUGGAGCAAUAUAUCAAGAAGGUCUCCUUCUAUGGAUUUUGGCUUGUUGGGAUCAAGAUGUUGCUCAAUGAGUUCUUCAUAAAACUCAUCCAAAUUCUUGAAAUUCUUCUCAAGUCGAUCUGUCAAUCCAGUAAGUUUAUCGAUCCAAGCUAAAUAAGGAAAAAAAUCGGAAACAAAGAAGCUAGUCAACAUUGUUGCGGAUUCUUCUAAAAGUUCAUCAAAUCUCCUCUUCUCAUGUGCUUCUUCUCAAUCAAUUAAUUGUAGUUUAAUCAUCAAAUUACUCAAAUUGGUGAUUUCUGAGGUAGUAGCUUGUUGAGAUAUUUUCUUGAUCAUUCUCGAGACUUCAUCUUCACGAAUUGGACUAAAUAAUUUCACUUUCUUGUGACUAAAUAGAUGAAAAACACUUAUUCUCUCAUUUCUCACUUCAUCAAACCUAAUACCAAAAGCAACUCUACAAUUUUCGCUGGCUAAGGAAUGAAGGUCUACUACAAAAUACUAAAUCUUGUGUCUUCAGUACUUCUUUUGCUAUUUUUGCUGAAGAAACUACAACCAUUGGAGUAGAACCAAAUUUCAAUGAGAAUAUUUUUCCAUAUUUCUUGGAAAGUUUCCAAAAAUAGAUAUGAGGGGUUACACUAUCAUAUUGAUGCAAAUUUCCAAUGAAUGGGAGGCCUAUAGGACCUGGUGGCAGAUUGUCUUUGCCACUCUUUUUGGCUUUAGGUAUAAGAAAAUAAGAAUGAUAGGAAAGAAAACAAAGAAUAGAAAGAGAAUCAUUUUGUUUUAACUUCAGAAAAUACUUGUCACUUGAAAUGUCUUAUAUAUAAAAAUGGAUCUUGGGCUAGACGAUAUGAGGGAGUUGCUUGAAUGGUAAUGAAUCUUUUUAUAACACCUCAACUUAGGAUAAGGAGUCUCACAUCGGCAAAACACAGGAGGGAUGUUGGGUAUAUAAGUAAGCAAGUCUUACUCCUUAGUGACGCAUUUUAAAGCCGAGCGGGGUCUAGACCCAGAGCGGACAAUAUCACUAGUGGGUUGGACCGUUAGAGGGUCUCUCGGGACUUGAUGGUUUGGGAUGCCCGUCGUGGCCAGGGCCUCUCGGGUCGUGACACUUUUUUAUUGAUAUGUGUUGGGACAAAAAUCUCUAGUGAAAGUUCAAGAGAUGGAUUUUUUGCACAAAAUUGGUGAUGGCAGUAAAUGUUGUACUGCCCAUAAUUUUUAUCAUUUCAUAUGGACCACAUAAUAUAUUACUAAAAAUGGAAAUAUGAAAGUGAAGUGGUACCAAACAUUAAUGGAAUAAUGGCAAUAGCAAUCAUUCAACCAUAUAUCUUUUUUUUUGAUUUUUUUUUUUUUUAGGUUGCAGCAAUGAAUCUGCAAAAGAAACAAUUAAGGUAACUAUUUGAUGUACAUAAUGUAUAUGUAUAAUUGAUACCUUGAAAUAACUUUAAUCAUGAGAAAGAUUCAACCAAUUUGAACCGCUCACAUCACAAUAGUAACAUCGUAAAGCAAUCAAUAUUUUGCACAUUUUCAAGAUAUUUGCCAGCAUGACUUAGAUAGCAUUAGAAAAAAGGCUAUAUAUAGGUCUAAUGAAAAAAUAUUUUGCAGGGGUAAUAGCAUCUUUGGUAAUCAAUUGUCAAAAACUUCUAAUUUUGGUACUUGUGGCGUAUGAUUAAGUUAGGGGAGCAACAUUGACAGGAGAGAAUUUUACAAAAAGGCGGUAUAGGCGAUGCCAUGCACGGUGCAGAGGAUCAUCUAAAAAAUAACUACAUAUAGAUUGUUCAUAAUAAGUUGCACUACUAGUUAUCGGAAAAUAAAGCAAGUAACUUGCUAUAACAUGUUAAUUUACACCGAUAAUAUAACAAAUUUUUACACUGUUAAUCUAUAUAUUGAUUCUCUAUUACAUAUCAAGAAGACUAAGAAAACAAAGUGUCAAAGGUACCUGCAUACAAUAGGCAGUUCUUGAGGAUCCCUCCAGAUGCUGGUGCUGAGUAAAGAUCAAAAUUUGAGUUAUGUAAACACUUCUUCGUGAAAUCACGCUCAUCAGAAAGUCUCAUAGCUCAUCGUGAACAAUUAUGACUUGAUCAUCUUUUUUCAAUUGGAGCAAUAUAUCAAGAAGGUCUCCUUCUAUGGAUUUUGGCUUGUUGGGAUCAAGAUGUUGCUCAAUGAGUUCUUCAUAAAACUCAUCCAAAUUCUUGAAAUUCUUCUCAAGUCGAUCUGUCAAUCCAGUAAGUUUAU